AGGGGAGUAGCUCAGUUGGUAGAGCAUCGGUCUCCAAAACCGAGGGUCGCAGGUUCGAGCCCUGUCUCCCCUG
rnacentral:tRNA from 1 species